GAGCCUGUCCCUGCACCAUCCCCUGCAGCCUCCAGCCACAAGAUCUACUGUCCUUGCCAGGGUUUUGUAGCACCAGUGACAUUGCCACGCUGUCCUUGCUCCACCCUUGCCAAGUGCUUGACUUGACAUCACAUCCCAACCCACCACUGACUCUUGUGCUUGAUGUAUGGCCACCGAGCAGGGGCCACUGCCACUGUUCCUUGUAGCAGCCGGUGCAGGCAUCUGCCAUUGCAUGAGAUGACACCUUGUCAUCUGCUGCUGCUGCUGCAGCCCCGGGCUGCUCAUCCCCUCGACUGCAAAUUACACAGCUCAGUCCCUGCACACCCACUGAGGCUGCUCAGGUCCACGUCCAUCACUGGGCAGCCACGGGGGAGCCCUGGGCUGGUCCUACCCACCCUGAUCCCAUCCCACCCAUGUGCUCAUCCCUGUUCCUGGGCAGCCAGGGGUUCCUGUGGCUGCUGUCACUGCUCUGGUGGCAGCACCUCCCUUGCAGCUGCAGAGCUAAAGCUCCCUUUUCUCCUCUCCUCCGCUUCCAAACAGCUUCUCAGCUCCCAGAAGAACCGCACACACACCUCCCCAUCCCCAAUUUGCCAUCUCAGGCCAGAGGUCCAGAAACCUAUUAAUGAUCUCCCAGCUGCAGGCUGGUUGCUGGAGCCAGCAGCGCAGCAGAAGGGUGACGAUGCUGUGAAGCCUCUGGGGCUGGUGGGUCCCAUGAUCCUGAGGGCAGCACCCAGCCCCAUGGGGACCUGCUGUGAUGGAGGGAGUAUGUUGACAGAAGCAGCAUCACUUGUGUGCACUGAAAGAGUGCCCAGGCAGAAAAGCCAAGCCAGGGCAGAGCCACACAUCCCAGCUGCCACCAAGCACUGCCUUCACCGAGCAGCUCCAGCCACCCGUGCUCCUGUGGGGCAGAGAAACACACACCCACGAAGGUCAGAGGCUUUGCAAAGAGGGGGCUGGGGCAGUGUCCCUGAAAGCACAGGCUGGGCAAAAGCCCUCCAGCUCCCCAGGCUCUUCCCAGAGACAUUACCUUCCCUGGGGACUUUUGCAACAAGGUGGACGUGGACACACAUGG
rnacentral:lncRNA from 1 species